CCUACGGGUGGCAGCAGUAGGGAAUCGUCCACAAUGGGCGAAAGCCUGAUGGAGCAACGCCGCGUGGGUGAAGAAGGUCUUCGGAUCGUAAAACCCUGUUGUUAGAGAAGAAAGUGCGUGAGAGUAACUGUUCACGUGUCGACGGUAUCUAACCAGAAAGCCACGGCUAACUACGUGCCAGCAGCCGCGGUAAUACGUAGGUGGCAAGCGUUAUCCGGAUUUAUUGGGCGUAAAGGGAACGAAGGCGGUCUUUUCAGUCUGAUGUGAACGCCUUCGGCGUAACCGGAGUAGUGCCUUGGAGACUGGGAGACUUGAGUGCAGCUGAGUAGAGUGGAACUCCCUGUGUAGCG
rnacentral:rRNA from 1 species